rnacentral:rRNA from 1 species
UGGCGGCAGGCCUAACACAUGCAAGUCGAGCGAACCCUUCGGGGUUAGCGGCGGACGGGUGAGUAACGCGUGGGAAUAUGCCCUUCUCUACGGAAUAGUCUCGGGAAACUGGGGGUAAUACCGUAUACGCCCUUUGGGGGAAAGAUUUAUCGGAGAAGGAUUAGCCCGCGUUGGAUUAGGUAGUUGGUGGGGUAAUGGCCUACCAAGCCUACGAUCCAUAGCUGGUUUGAGAGGAUGAUCAGCCACACUGGGACUGAGACACGGCCCAGACUCCUACGGGAGGCAGCAGUGGGGAAUCUUAGACAAUGGGGGCAACCCUGAUCUAGCCAUGCCGCGUGAGUGAUGAAGGCCCUAGGGUUGUAAAGCUCUUUCAGCUGGGAAGAUAAUGACGGUACCAGCAGAAGAAGCCCCGGCUAACUCCGUGCCAGCAGCCGCGGUAAUACGGAGGGGGCUAGCGUUGUUCGGAAUUACUGGGCGUAAAGCGCACGUAGGCGGACCAGCAAGUUAGGGGUGAAAUCCCGGGGCUCAACCCCGGAACUGCCCUUAAAACUGUUGAUCUUGAGUUCGAGAGAGGUGAGUGGAAUUCCGAGUGUAGAGGUGAAAUUCGUAGAUAUUCGGAGGAAC